rnacentral:misc_RNA from 1 species
GGAGGCUUUGCGUCGCUUCUUCACACUUUGCCUCCAUUGAAGACUCUCCCUUAGACUCACUCAGGUUGUUAGAGCUUUAUUUCGGCACUUCAGAACCACCAGCCAAGAUGCAGAACGAUGAGGGACAAAACAUGGAUCUUUACAUCCCCAGGAAAUGUUCUGCUACAAACAGGCUGAUCACUUCAAAGGACCAUGCUUCUGUUCAACUUAAUGUCGGUCAUUUGGACGAUAGGGGUGUCUACACUGGGAGUUUCACAACUUUUGCUCUCUGUGGUUUCAUCCGUGCUCAGGGUGAUGCUGACAGCGCAAUGGACCGUCUCUGGCAGAAGAAGAAAGUUGAAGCUAGACAAGAGUAGAAAAAAUAGAUUUGCAUUUUGAUAUUAUUUUAUGAUGAAGGAUUCUGGAUAACAUUUAAAUUUCAGUUGAGUUAGACAAUGUUCUCCCAGCUGUAAGCUAUAUGUUGGAUUCAUCUUUGGAUAUCUGAGUUGCCCCUUUGCUCAUGAUUUUGAUUUCAUUUUCUGAUUA